GCUUACGGCCAUACCACCCUGAAUGCGCCCGAUCUCAUCUGAUCGCGGAAGCUAAGCAGGUUCAGGCCUGGUUAGUACUUGGAUGGGAGACCGCCUAGGAAUACCAGGUGCUGUAAGUU
rnacentral:rRNA from 1 species